GCCGAGAUAGCUCAGUCGGUAGAGCAGCGGACUGAAAAUCCGCGUGUCGACGGUUCGAUUCCGUCCCUCGGCACCA
rnacentral:tRNA from 1 species